UGGCUACUUCGCGCCAAGGGCUGGGCGGGCGGAGGGAGCUGGCUAGGGGCCAGCCAAGCUCAGAAUUAGCUCAUUGUUCAACAGAAUCGGCACAGGCCACCCAAGCCCAGCCUGGGGGAGGAAGGGAAAGGGGAAAAAGACCGAGACAGAGUGACAGAAACAGACCCAAAGGCAGACAGACGUACGCGCACACACACGCGCAUACACAGACGCACACGCGCACGGGGAGGAGAGAAAGAAAGAGCGGUGUAGAGAGGACAGAAAGUGGACAGGGAGCAGGGGCUUUUGUCUAUUGGCUUUCUUGGACUAAAGAGCAAAGGAGUGCAGUCCCAAGACUGUUAAGAUUCUCAAAAUGAUCUGUUACCCAAAACUAACAGUUUGGGUUGUUCAAGACUCAUUUCCAACCAGUCAAAAGGAUGGAAGAUCUCCCAAGGAAAAUAUCCCUAUUCCAAGGGAAGUUAAUCGAAAAAAACAAGAUGAGAUUGCAGCUGCAUCUCUGCUUCUACUCAGUGGUGGUGAUGGACACUGCUCCACAAGAAUCAAUUACCUCUGCGCUUUUUAAUCAUAAUUCCUCCAUUUGUAUUACAUAUGAUGUAUGGGUAAUGAUGAAGUCAUAGUGUCAUAUAUGGAAAUUGUUUCUGUGUAAAUCAUCAAGUAUAAGAAGAAACUAUGGGACUCUGAGCCUUCCUUUAUAGAAUUACUGUGGACAAAUAUGUAUCAUAAAAUCAGUUUUUAGUCAUUCUGACUUCAGUGAAAACUCAGAAUUUCACACUGUGAAUCCACGUUUACAAACAUUUACAGGUGGGCCUUCAGGCCUGGUUCUCCUACAACAUUGUCUUCCACUAUUCUCACUCUUACUGCUCACAUGCAACUGGUAAAUUUUUCCUUUCCAUUCACUUAGCUCCCAACUGCUCCUUGAAGAGGCUGAGAGUCCCCCCCCUUUUUUUUUUCAUUUAGAUGUAACAAGCUUAGUAGUUUAUGUUCAUCAAUUGUCUGUAUAUCUCUAUAUUUUAUCCAUGUACUCUUUUGAUGUAUAGAAGUAGUUUGAAACUCAUUGUUUCCUUGUGGUAAGUGAUUGAGAUGCUGCCACAGGAUUUGAGACACUGAUGAAUGGUGCUAUUUUGGACUUUAAACAUGCUCCUUGGCAAGGUAGCUCUGAUGGAGUUAUUUUUUUUUCCAUGUCCUAAGAAGGUGUUGGUACUUUGUUUCCUUGAAUGUUGUUGUUCUUUAGACUGGACUGACAUGUUUUCUUGUGUCUUCAGUGUGGCUUUCUUAUUCAAUGUUGUAGGGUGAGUGAAUACUACUAAAGCCCAUGAAGCACUGACAUUACAUCUGAGUGUGCUCACAAUAUGCAGUUGUAGUGGGAGCAACUACAAAAUGUAAUUUACUUAUCAAUCUCCUUUCUCUAUCCUUGCCUGCCUAACUUCGAGAAAAGAGAAGCAAUAAUUUUACAUGAGUUUUUAUGAAACUAUUUUAAAAAAUACUCUGGAAGACAUUUGAAAAAAGGGUCACAUUUUUAAAUGAGCUCCUUAAAAUCCUUAUGAAUAUGACUGUUACUUCUUCCUUAAAAGAUUAAAAUGGAGCAUUUCUUUUUUUUUUUAAUGGCAGAGCAGGUAUUGGCGUUUUUAUCCAAAUGUAGAUUUUACAUUUUUGUUCUUGUUCCCAGUGAAACUGGCAAAAAGUAAACCAGACAAUACCAUCUACUCAUGAAAUGUUGUGUUAGCCACGGUCUGAAAGCCCACCUUAAUUUUUUUAUAUAAUUCUGUCUUUUUAGCUCUUCCUUUGACAGGGCAGGCCUUGUUCUGUACUGUUUAGCUUUUGACUGUUAAAUACCAAUGCAUGCACUUAGUUUCCUUCACUGCCUUUUCACAAUACCCUUCUCCCUCCUUUCCACUCGUGUCGUAUCCCCUCUCUUGUGCAUUUCUCUGACCUUCUUUUGGUUAGUUUAGGUUAUGCCAGCUGUGCUGUAUAUAGAGCAAGAAUCAGUAUUCAGCAGUUGUGGCAUUUAUGAAUUGUUGCAGUUGUGUAUUGCUGAAAAUGCAGGCUUUUGUAAUGAUGUGAUCUUUAAUAAUGCACUACAAGUAACUCAUUGUAUUUUAGCUAUUUUAGAAAGGUUUGUUUAAUAAAUAUGAAAACUAUAAAAGUAACUAA